rnacentral:rRNA from 1 species
AUGGAGAACGCUUCCACAAAUACGACUACGCACCUCUCUCCUCCAUUAACUGACAUAUGGGCCCUUUUGAGCUCGCGCGUACCAUAUCCCCCCGCUCACUGCUCGGCCAAACACGCCAUCUUCUUCGCUCGCCCGCCCGAAUCCACUUCCCCGCUGGCUCGUAGGCACCGAAAACCCCAGUCACUCAGCGCCCUAAAAAACCCUAUGGCAGAACCGACUGACACGCAGAGCCGCGAUUGGAAUUCCCUCCCUGAUGUUCUCUUGGAGCAGAUCUGUAAUCGUAUGGACCUGCUCAGCACCGUCCGUCUGGCGGCAUGCUUGGUGUCUUUGUACCGUCUACUCGUCUGCAACCGGCCGGUUCUUUUCAAGACACCCUGCUUGCUGACGUCCUAUCCUCGCAGGUGGCCCAGACACCGACUUGACGAUCCUACGGAGGUUGUCGUCGUGCCCCUCGACAUGCUACCACUACCCGUCCACCUGUCCUUCAUGCGCGACCACUACUGGGCGGGCAUGAAGGCCAACUGGAUCAUCCUCAUCCACCAAUCCGCAGACGCAAAUGCGCUGGCCUUCAUGAUUCCAGGACCUGGAAUCAUACCAGCCGAUGCGUGGCGGUUUAUCGCUCGUUCAGCUGACGGCGGUCAUUUGAUGCUCAUUUGCACGUACCAAAUUGACCAAACCAUUUCAUCAAACCACAUGCAGUAUCAUGCCUGGGGGGUUUGUGACAUUGAUGGCUAUGGCUGCUUCGUGUUCGAGAAAGAUCCCAGCUCCGUUGGGCCAGGCGUAUUCAACUGGAGGCGGGUUUACAGCCUCGACAACCACUCCAUGUUCCUCGGGCUCAAUUAUCCAAUCAUCGAUCAUAUCACCGCUUGUUGCCAGAUAAUCUUCAGUGUGUGA